rnacentral:rRNA from 1 species
GAUGAACGCUGGCGGUAUGCUUAACACAUGCAAGUCGAACGCAAACUUUCGGGUCUGGUUGGCUGACGGGGGAGUAACGCGUGAGAAUCUGGCUUCAGGUUCGGGACAACCACGGGAAACGGCGUCUAAUACCCAAUGUGCCUUUAAGGUGAAAGAUUAAUUUCCUGAAGAUGAGCUCGCGUCUGAUUAGCGAGUUGGUGGGGUAAGAGCUCACCAAGGCUACGAUCAGUAGCUUGUCUGAGAGGACGAUCAGCCACACUGGGACUGAGACACGGCCCAGACUCCUACGGGAGGCAGCAGUGGGGAAUUUUCCGCAAUGGGCGAACGCCUGACGGAGCAAUCCCGCGUGAGGGAGGAAGGCUCUGGGGUUGUAAACCUCUUUUCUCAGGGAAGAAGGCAAUGACGGUACCUGAGGAAUAAGCAUCGGCUAACUACGUG